UACGUAGGGAGCAAGCGUUGUCCGGAAUCAUUGGGCGUAAAGCGCGCGUAGGUGGCCCCAUAAGUCCGCUGUGAAAGUCAAAGGCUCAACCUUUGAAAGCCGGUGGAUACUGUGGGACUAGAGUACGGAAGAGGCGAGUGGAAUUCCUGGUGUAGCGGUGGAAUGCGCAGAUAUCAGGAGGAACACCAAUAGCGAAGGCAGCUCUCUGGGACGGUACUGACGCUGAGACGCGAAAGCGUGGGGAGCGAACAGG
rnacentral:rRNA from 1 species